rnacentral:misc_RNA from 1 species
UUAAGUUCAGCGGGUAUCCCCGCCUGAUCCGAGGUCAACCUUGAAGAAGAUUGGGGUUCGUCCGGCGGGCGAGGCCUCCACUUCCAAAGCGAGAGAAGAUUUCUUUUACCACGCUUGAAGCAAGGCUCCGCCGCCGAGGAGUUUCGGGCACGUCGAGCGGACGAAGGCCCAACACCAAGCGAUGCUUGAGGUGUGUAAUG